rnacentral:misc_RNA from 1 species
GAUGAAGAACGUAGCGAAAUGCGUUAAGUAAUGCGAAUUGCAGAAUUCCGUGAGUCAUCGAAUCUUUGAACGCACAUUGCGCCCUCUGGUAUUCCGGAGGGCAUGCCUGUCUGAGCGUCAUUGUCAACCCUCAAGCUCAGCUUGCUGUUGGGUCCCCGUCGUUGCUUUAACGGCGGACCCGAAAGGUAAUGGCAGAGUCCGUGAGACCCUAGACGCAGCGAGCUUCUAGCACGCGUCUGGACGUUUUUCGGGCUCGGUCUUAACUAGAUGAUAACUUCCGAUUGACCUCAGAUCAGGUAGGGAUACCCGCUGAACUUAAGCAUAUCAAUAAGCGGAGGA